rnacentral:rRNA from 1 species
CUUCNCCGCCGCCACGCGCACGGGUGAGUAACACGUAUGCAACCUGCCCCUGUCAGGGGGACAACCCGCCGAAAGGCGGGCUAAACCCGCGUACAUGCCACCGGGGCAUCCCGGAGGCAGGAAAGGCUUCGGCCGGACAGGGAUGGGCAUGCGGCGCAUUAGGCAGUAGGCGGGGUAACGGCCCACCUAACCGACGAUGCGUAGGGGUUCUGAGAGGAAGGUCCCCCACACUGGUACUGAGACACGGACCAGACUCCUACGGAAGGCAGCAG